GUACCGAUAUCCAUAUUGGUAUAAUAUCGGUAUAUCGAUUCCUUUGCAGACCUCUCAACUCUCACGCAUUCGGCGUGAGUCUCACGCAAUUCGCUUCACUCUCACGCUCUCACGCCACGAUUAGUUAAUCUCACGCAUAUAGCAGUUUCAUAGUAUUUUUUCAAUAAUAUAAUAUUGUAUUCUUAAUAAAUGCACAUUAUUAAUCAUUAUACGGAUUGCGAAUCGAAUAUAUAAUCGCGUGUUAUUGUUCCUGCAUAUAUGGCCCGACAUUUUGGCUUUUGCCCGCAAUUUGCAUGGAUACAAAAUAGUACGCAUAUGUAAAUACGGCGGACAAAAGGCAGAAUCAGUCGGAGCAGAAUUCUAUAUGUAAAUUAUCAAAGGCAAAUUAAAGCUCAUUACUGUAUGUCACAGAAAUACAGUUAUAGUGCCUUGUCUCAAUAAAGGACGUUAUGAAGCAAUGACGUAUUUCAUUAAAAAACACCAACUCUCAUAAUGUACGAAAUGCCAUUUCAGACCCCCGGCCACGGACUUUUACAAAGGUGUCAUCCACAUCCCCAAUCUCACUCUUAACUUCUCUGCAAAGUUGAGA